GCCGCGGCGAGGCUGACGCUGCCGCGGCCGGGGGUGACUCACGGCGGCAGCCGCCGGGUAGCGGAUCCGAGAGCCGAGCGGCGAGCGGGCACAUCGGGCCCCGCUCUUCGCCCCCUUCCCCGGGCACCGCGUGCCGCCCGUCGCACCCCUGCCCCCUCCCCGACCCCCUGCGCUUCUGCCAAGUGGAAUAAACGCCCGGGUUUCCGGCAAACAUUCACCCUUCCGACACCGAACGGGAGGCCGCCCCCCUCCCGGCCGGCACCCCUGUCGCAGGCGGGCCGGGGUCCGUCCCCGCGGCCGGCAGCGCUCCCGGCGGCACCCGCCCCCACCAAAAUCAUUUGGAAAAUGACACAGUCUGAAGAAAAAUGGGAAUUCAAAAUCUGUCUCCAAAUUUCCUCGUGAACCAGUCUGCUCCUCUGCAUCUGCAGAAAGGGACAGAUAUUAUCUUCAUUUACAGGAAUUUUCAUGGAAAGUGAGCCUGAGCCAUGGGAGAUAAAGACUUUAUGGAUAUUUUC